rnacentral:rRNA from 1 species
CCCUUAGAUGUCCUGGGCCGCACGCGCGCUACACUGAGUGUCUGAGAUACGAGUCUGGCUGGUCCGGCAAGGUCUAGGUAAUCGCUAAAAGACACAUCAUGCUUGGGAUAGAUUAUUGCAAAUAUUAAUCUUGAACGAGGAAUUCCUAGUAAGCGCAAGUCAACAGCUUGCGUUGAUUACGUCCCUGCCCUUUGUACACACCGCCCGUCGCUACUACUGAUUGGAUGUUUAAGCGAGGUUCUCGAACUGCUAGCGACUUAGCUUCGGUGAGGUCGCAGUGUGGGAAGUGAACCUAGCUUUGGUGUCUAGAGGAAGUAAAAGUCGUAACA